GGGAUCGCGAUGGGAGAAACCGGAGUUUGUAGACGUGAUGGGGUUCUCCGAGCUCGAGGAACUUCCCCUCCCCUACUCGG